AGAGUUUGAUCAUGGCUCAGAACGAACGCUGGCGGCGCGCCUAACACAUGCAAGUCGGACGCACUCAGCAAUGGGUGAGUGGCGGACGGGUGAGUAACACGUGGGAACCUGCCCUGGGGUCUGGGAUAACUGCGGGAAACUGCAGGUAACACCGGAUGUGCCCUUAGGGGGAAAGUUUACGCCCUGGGAUGGGCCCGCGUCGGAUUAGGUAGUUGGUGGGGUAAUGGCCUACCAAGCCUUCGAUCCGUAACCGGUCUGAGAGGAUGAUCGGUCACACUGGGACUGAGACACGGCCCAGACUCCUACGGGAGGCAGCAGUGGGGAAUCUUGGACAAUGGGGGCAACCCUGAUCCAGCGACGCCGCGUGGGUGAUGAAGGCCUUCGGGUCGUAAAGCCCUUUUGCCGGGGAAGAUGAUGACGGUACCCGGAGAAGAAGCACCGGCUAACUCUGUGCCAGCAGCCGCGGUAAGACAGAGGGUGCUAGCGUUGUUCGGAAUUACUGGGCGUAAAGGGCGCGUAGGCGGCUCGUUUAGUCGGGUGUGAAAUCCCGGCUCAACCUUGGAACUGCAUUCGAUACUGGCGGGCUAGAGACGGAAGAGGUGGGUGGAAUACCCAGUGUAGAGGUGAAAUUCGUAGAUAUUGGGUGGAACACCGGCGAAGGCGGCUCACUGGUCCGCUGACGCUGAGGCGCGAAAGCGUGGGGAGCAAACAGGAUUAGAUACCCUAGUAGUCC
rnacentral:rRNA from 1 species